GAUGAACGCUGGCGGCGUGCUUAACACAUGCAAGUCGAACGGUGAAGCCAAGCUUGCUUGGUGGAUCAGUGGCGAACGGGUGAGUAACACGUGAGCAACCUGCCCUGGACUCUGGGAUAAGCGCUGGAAACGGCGUCUAAUACUGGAUAUGAGCUCUCAUCGCAUGGUGGGGGUUGGAAAGAUUUUUCGGUCUGGGAUGGGCUCGCGGCCUAUCAGCUUGUUGGUGAGGUAAUGGCUCACCAAGGCGUCGACGGGUAGCCGGCCUGAGAGGGUGACCGGCCACACUGGGACUGAGACACGGCCCAGACUCCUACGGGAGGCAGCAGUGGGGAAUAUUGCACAAUGGGCGGAAGCCUGAUGCAGCAACGCCGCGUGAGGGAUGACGGCCUUCGGGUUGUAAACCUCUUUUAGCAGGGAAGAAGCGAGAGUGACGGUACCUGCAGAAAAAGCGCCGGCUAACUACGUGCCAGCAGCCGCGGUAAUACGUAGGGCGCAAGCGUUAUCCGGAAUUAUUGGGCGUAAAGAGCUCGUAGGCGGUUUGUCGCGCCUGCUGUGAAAUCCCGAGGCUCAACCUCGGGCCUGCAGUGGGUACGGGCAGACUAGAGUGCGGUAGGGGAGAUUGGAAUUCCUGGUGUAGCGGUGGAAUGCGCAGAUACCAGGAGGAACACCGAUGGCGAAGGCAGAUCUCUGGGCCGUAACUGACGCUGAGGAGCGAAAGGGUGGGGAGCAAACAGGCUUAGAUACCCUGGUAGUCCACCCCGUAAACGUUGGGAACUAGUUGUGGGGACCAUUCCACGGUUUCCGUGACGCAGCUAACGCAUUAAGUUCCCCGCCUGGGGAGUACGGCCGCAAGGCUAAAACUCAAAGGAAUUGACGGGGACCCGCACAAGCGGCGGAGCAUGCGGAUUAAUUCGAUGCAACGCGAAGAACCUUACCAAGGCUUGACAUACACCAGAACACCGUAGAAAUACGGGACUCUUUGGACACUGGUGAACAGGUGGUGCAUGGUUGUCGUCAGCUCGUGUCGUGAGAUGUUGGGUUAAGUCCCGCAACGAGCGCAACCCUCGUUCUAUGUUGCCAGCACGUAAUGGUGGGAACUCAUGGGAUACUGCCGGGGUCAACUCGGAGGAAGGUGGGGAUGACGUCAAAUCAUCAUGCCCCUUAUGUCUUGGGCUUCACGCAUGCUACAAUGGCCGGUACAAAGGGCUGCAAUACCGUGAGGUGGAGCGAAUCCCAAAAAGCCGGUCCCAGUUCGGAUUGAGGUCUGCAACUCGACCUCAUGAAGUCGGAGUCGCUAGUAAUCGCAGAUCAGCAACGCUGCGGUGAAUACGUUCCCGGGUC
rnacentral:rRNA from 1 species